GGGUGAAAAGGGAAGUUGAGUUAAGUGCGUGUGUGUGCCCGCAUACAUAUAUAUACAGUAAUCUGAAACACUGGUCAGCAGCAAAAGACUCGAGGAAUCGAUAUGAAGCUCUCAUCUGCUGUGAAAGGUAAGGACUUAUUAUGAUACCAAACGGUUUGUUUUUCUUUGCAUUAUAUUCGCUGGUGAACGCUUUGUCUCUCUAACAGUUCUGGGAUCUCUGUGUCUGCUGCUCGUAGAUGGAUUUCCAGGUACAAAAUAGUUAUGUAAUAGAAAAAAGUUUUUUGUUUUUUUUUUGUGUAGUAAGAUUUUUAACCUUAGAAUGUUUUGCAGUUUCUGAAGAUGAAUCUCCAGAGAUAAUUGGACCAGGGUUUGUCCAAAUAAAAACUCAUCCAGGUGCACCGCUGGUGCUUCACUGUGAUGCGUUUGUAAACUGUGAGGACGAUAUGACUCUAAUCUACUGGCUUGUCAAUGACACCUUCCCCGAAGACGCCCCCAGCAGCGACAGGAUAAGAGAAUCUAAUGAAUCCACUCUAGAGGAGGGUGCAAUCCUUCAGAGGAGUUUGCUGUUGAAGAACAUCACAUCCGAGGACCUCAAAUCCACCUUCACGUGCGUUGUGACAAAUGCUGUGGGAGUGGCCCAAAAACACAUUAAAUUAAUAUCAACACGUGAAUGACUGAAGAUAGUAAAUGACAACUGUGUAAAAGAUCUUGAUUUUCUGUCCUCUGCCUUGUGAUAUAAGUCAUGUCUGUCAAGAGUCAACAUUGCAUGUCAGCAUUUUCAUGUAAUACUUUUGUUUGGCAACUUGUGGAUGAACUCUGCUGAAGAGCUGGGGCCUGUUCUUCGUACCGCGCUAAGUGAGUUAGCUGGAUUUGAUUGUUGACGAUUUCGCGUGAUCCUGGAUCGUUCGGUUCCCCGAAGCCCAUCCGGGACUUGCUGUCAUAGCAACAGAGCCGUAAGCGUAAACCUGCUGGGGAGCAGGUUUACUUUAUGUAAACAGGAUUAGAUCGCGGCCACGCAGGUAUGUCCGCGUCAUUCAUACGAAAGCAACAGCGAUAUUCCACCACUGUUUCACCAUAAAUAAAUAACAUCAGUGUAACUAAAGAUAAUGCAGCACUUGAUCCUUUUAUUGAUUUCACACAGAUACAUACAGGUCAUUUCCUAAAAAAGGGAAAUGUACUAUUAACAUUCUAUUACAUGUAUGUGAUUAUUACAGAUGUAAUCCAUAUUUCAGAGUAGUAAUUGUAAAUUACUUCGUGUAAUCAAGAUGAGAGACCACGGCUAUAAAAGCGAAGGUGGAUUUGGGAAGCCUGUCGCAGUCAUAUCCUGUCCGUUUACGCGAGCAACCCAUUGCGGAAGGUGCAAGAUUGAUAAGGAGAGUCCUCAGAAUUCAGCGUAUAUUGCGGGACAGACAGGAUCCUUUAGCUCAGCGCGACAGUGUGCUCAUAGAGAGAUAUCGAUUUUCCCGUGAGGGUAUUAUUCACUUAACCAACUUGUUGACGAGGGGGUGCAGGACCACCACCUGUCUUUGUUUUUGCUCUGCCCUUUUCUUGGUUGCUGUUAUGAACAAACAAACAGAGUAUUCCAGGGUCUCUUUCCAAGAGACGACAAGCAAUAUAAGUGAUAAAUAUUACCAUUCUGUAGAAUAUUCUUAUAUUUCACUUUUACUUGUUCCCAUGUUCUAGUGGGUCCUGUUGUGGCUCUAAUGUGAAAGGGGAUAUAAUAUAACAUAUUAUAAUAUAAUAUAAUGUAAUAUAAUAUUGGAUAAUAUGGUGUGAUAUGAUAAAUCUACCCUACCGCCUACUGGUGUUGGCCAGAGGGGCCGAUGGCGCAAUAUGGCAGCCUUGCUUCUGUCAGUCUGCCCCAGGGCAGCUGUGGCUACAACCGUAGCUGCCUCCACCAGUGUGUGAAUGUGAGAGUGAAUGAAUAGUGGCAUUGUAAAGCGCUUUGGGUGCCUUGAAAAGCGCUAUACAAAUCCACUCCAUUAUUAUUAUUAUUAUUGAAUUACUUACGAGUUUGAUUUGUCAGCAACUUUCUGCCAGCCCUCUCUCUUUGCUUUUGCAGCCUUUGCAGUGUUCCCUUGCGUUUUAAUUAAACUCUGAAACUCCUGAAAUCCCUCACUCAAGAGUUCUUGCUCUGCUGCCGAAAAAUACCGAGCGCGCUCCUUCGACAUUUUCGCCGACCAAUCAAAGGGUUGCCGAUCAAUGUUUUUACUAUCGAUGGUAGCCCCUGUUGGGCCACCCAGUGAUCUCACAUUACUUCAUCCAGCUAUACUAAUCGUCAACAACAGGUGUGUUCGGGGAACCGGAAUAGCGAGCUCAGAGUUAGCGCGAUGAUUUGGUCUUGGAUGUUUCAUUUGAUCUUGGAUGUAGUAAGCGACGUACGAAGCACAGGGCCCUGGUUGGUUCAAAACCUAAACUCCAGUUACGCUCAAAGGUAAAGCAAGUAGCUGCUGAAUGCUCUCCUUUAUAUCAAUCUGACAAACAUACAGAGGCGCCAUCUGAUGUAGCAGUGUUGUGGUCCAGUUGUAACUACACUUACCCACCUUACAGUCAUUUAGACGACUGUACCACACAGUGAAUGUGUUGAAUGUUGUGUCAGCAAACUGUUUUCUAUGCCUGUGUACGGUUCCUGUACUUGCUGAAAAAAAAUAUAGUGAAAAUUAAAUUUAGAUACUUUUAAAUUAAUAACCAUGUUUUCCUUGAGAGUUACUGUUAUUCACACUUAGAUGUUUGAAAUAAGCCAACUGCUCACUAUUCCUAAUAUCUGAGUAAGCAUUUCCACCAUCUGUGCAGCAGAGGUCAGCAAAGCAGCUUUCUUCCUCAACCUUGUUUUGUUGGGGACUAGAUUUAGUUUUGUAGACGCAGUCAACAUGCCAAUGUCUAAGUUGUGUUUAAUCUUUUUUAGAUUUAUGCUUGAAAGCAGAUGUAAUUUCUAUUGAUAAAUAGCAGCUCAUUUAAUUUGAUUUGAAGGAAAAAAAAAAACAAUAAAAAAAGAGUUUUAC
ensembl:lncRNA